rnacentral:rRNA from 1 species
UACAGAGGGUGCAAGCGUUAAUCGGAUUUACUGGGCGUAAAGCGUGCGUAGGCGGUUCGUUAAGUCGGUUGUGAAAGCCCUGGGCUCAACCUGGGAAUUGCAGUCGAUACUGACGGACUAGAGAACGGUAGAGGGAGGCGGAACUCCAGGUGUAGCGGUGAAAUGCGUAGAUAUCUGGAAGAACACCGAUGGCGAAGGCAACCUCCUGGGCCUGUUCUGACGCUGAGGCACGAAAGCGUGGGUAGCAAACAGG